rnacentral:rRNA from 1 species
AGUGAACGCUGGCGGUAGGCCUAACACAUGCAAGUCGAACGGCAGCACAGUAAGAGCUUGCUCUUACGGGUGGCGAGUGGCGGACGGGUGAGGAAUACAUCGGAAUCUACUUUUUCGUGGGGGAUAACGUAGGGAAACUUACGCUAAUACCGCAUACGACCUACGGGUGAAAGCAGGGGAACUUCGGGCCUUGCGCGACUGAAUGAGCCGAUGUCGGAUUAGCUAGUUGGCGGGGUAAAGGCCCACCAAGGCGACGACCCGUAGAUGGUCUGAGAGGAUGAUCAGCCACACUGGAACUGAGGCACGGUCCAGACUCCUACGGGAGGCAGCAGUGGGGAAUAUUGGACAAUGGGCGCAAGCCUGAUCCAGCCAUACCGCGUGGGUGAAGAAGGCCUUCGGGUUGUAAAGCCCUUUUGUUGGGAAAGAAAAGCAGCAGGUUAAUACCCCGCUGUUCUGACGGUACCCAAAGAAUAAGCACCGGCUAACUUCGUG